ACAGACAAUCAAUUACACCCCUCCCUUAUUUACUCCUGAAGCAACCUGUUGAUAGGCUGGAAUAGUUUAUGGCUCAGUCCGAGUUUGUGUCCCAUUUACACAGCCAGGACUAUGCAAACACUGGUCAGAUUGGAUAAUACGGAAGUUAGAUAAAUGGCUAACAAACAGCGAGAACUCCCAUCCUGGAUGGAAAGGAUGGGUAAGGAAGGCAACUGCUUCACCAGGAAAGUUACAACCAAAACAAAAAAGAAGUUUACCCCGAGGGUUACAGUCUAUUUUAUGAACGAGUGGGAGCUGGUGCAAAACGCUCUCGUCUUCGGGGAUUUGGAGGACAAAAUAUGUCACGUUGAAGGACUUACAGAAAAGGUACUCAAACCAGAAGGCGGUCUGGUGAAGAAGAGAAGACAAGAAGCAGGAAUGGACUCUAAUGAGCAGGGUACCCUUGAGGCGAGGACAAGCGCAUUAGAAUCAGAUUUGGACACAGCAGAGCUAGAGACUCUCCCUUAUGGAAAUACUAACCAGGGGCACAAAUCAGGCAAUGAAGAAUGCACAACCAGCACGUUGACAGACCAUCAGCCUGACACUGUAUCUGAUGAUGAAGCUUUGAAACUUGUAAGGGAGAUUUUUUUCACAUGAUGGUGAGGCCUUAAUCUUUCAAGAUCAUCUGUCAUGAGAUACAGUGGCUCCCUUCAUCUUUCACUAUGUAAAGAGUACUGGACAUGGGAAUGGAAUCGGAAGAACUGUCUUCUGUAUAACGGGAAAUGUCUACACAUAUACGGAAAGGAUAGUGAUGACAUUUUUUCCUAGGAGAGUCAAGGGCUUCCCAAUGUUUGCUGCCGUCUUUAAACCCAAAGUUAAAGUGCUCUCCAUGGCAGUGAAUGUGACUCCAUACAGAGUUGCUGUACACUGAGGUGGAGUGUGGAGUGUCUAUAAUACAAAAUGGCCAUAGUCUGGCCAUAAUACUCCUACUCUUUACAUUCAUUGUUGUAGGGUUUCUCAUAAUAACUCAUAAUGAGGAUACAUCUUAUGUCCUGUGAAAUAAGAAUUAAGAUGCCAAGAUAACACCAUUCACCCGGUAGGGCAGCAUCAUAUCUGGUUCCAUUUUCAUGGAAGAAAGAUAACUUAUGUGAAACAUCAAACCCAGUUAGUAAAUAAAUACACAUGAAUUGCUUGUUACCAUAUCCAUAAACCUUUUUGUGCACCUGCUGUAAAAUGUUAAUAAACUUUUCUUGGUUUCCUGGAAUUUUACACAUUUCACAACUGAACUAAAUUGCGUAAAUGUUGGAAAUAUAGCGUUUGAUAAAGAUCUCUUACAGGUCUUAUGUCGAUAUGAUGAUGCCUUAAUUAGGAGUAAAGUUAAAGCUUGGAUGGCACUGAUAAAUAGGGUUGGGGUAAACCUCUAACAACAAUUCACAUCAACCAAAUGCCCCUUACUCUUUUGUGUCAACAUCAUUACUACCUGUUCUUAAUCUUGUGAAAAAUGGAUGCUAUAUUUAGCAGGUAUGUUUGCAAUCCAUAGAUGACAAAACAACACAAGCCCUGUAAUAUUGAUGAACACUGCAUGUAAGUGACACUUGUGUAGAGUUCUUGUAAAGUGUACUGGUGUGAAGAGUCUUCCAUUGGGGUGCUUGUCCCUGCAAAUGCUUUUCUUCUCAACAAAUCAGGUGAAGGUGGAUGCAGCAGACUCCAAUAGGCAGACAGACAGUGCACAAUUAGCCAGCUUACUCCUGCUCAUUGGCUUCUGUAAGUAAUGGUGUUUGGCUGGUGUGUCCAUCAAGGCAUGUUUGUUAAUACACACAUAGAUUUAAAAUGUUAAAACAAAUACACGCAAGUGGUUACAGUUUGUUUGUGUUCUAAUAACAUAUACACCAGUACUGGAUAGUUACUUGUUGCCCAUGUUAGAAAGGACAAUAACCCCACACCUUCAUUGAACAGUGAGAGGAACUUGACUUAGAACCGUAGCCUAAACAGUCCAUCGUGGCAAAGUACAAAAUCCCAUUUUUGUAUAUUUCCUUAACUGUGAUGUAAGCCUGUGUCAUGCCAUUGUAUGGUGUGAUCUGGGAUUAGAAUAGAGGGAAGCUGGUUUACUUCAGAAUGCAGGUGACGCAGACAAAUAUCUGCCUGCUUCAUCCUAAAUUCAAUUUUUAAUACCAUUUUUCUCCUCGUUCUGAAAGCUCAUUUCUGCCUGCUUCAUCCUAAAUUCAGUUUUUAAUACCGUUUUUCUCCUUGUUCUGAAAGUCAUCACUCAAAUAUCAAAAGUCCAUGUUAACUCAGCAAAGGCAUAUACACAUUCCCUUAACACUUAUGUUUCAGUUUCAGCACAUUCCCUUAACACUUAUGUUUCAGUUUCAGCACAUUCCCUUAACACUUAUGUUUCAGUUUCAGCACAUUCCCUCAACACUUCUGUUUCAGUUUCA
ensembl:lncRNA